UGUUGAAAAAGUAGUUUUGGGAAAUCAGCUUUUCCCUUUUGAGCAGCCCAUACAUGGAAUACCAUACCCACAGAACUAAGGAACAUCACAUCUACCAAAUUCAUAAAACAUUGAUUAUUGACUAAUCA